AGUGAAAUAGCUGGAUCAAAUGGUUUCCAUUCCAAGUUUUCUAGGGAAUCUCCAUACUGCUUUCCAGAGUGGUUGCACCAAUUUGCAGUCCCACCAGUAAU
rnacentral:pre_miRNA from 1 species